UAUCACUGCUCAUCAUAACUGGCUGCUGCUUGUCAUCCACACAACACCAGGAUUUACAGGAAGUGGGACUGAUGUUAUCUUGAGCUCCUCACUUAUUUUGACCAUGAUUUACUUCAAGUGGAGGCAUUGUUUUUAAGGCAAAAAACAUUGUCAUAGUCUGCACUAUAGAAAAAAUGAAUGAUGGUAGGAGUCAAAUGAGAUGUUAAAGAAACCAAAGUCAACGAAGAAUCAUUUGCUGUUUUGAAGCUCAAGAUACCAAUUAGCAUUAUGGUUUGCAUAUGUAUACAUGUUUGUUCAUCAGGGCACCAGCUAAAGCUAUAUAACUCACCUGGCUUCAUUCCUUGCAAUGAUCCUUGAAGAAACUUCUUAAGUAUAAGGAAAAUAAGGUAAACAUUAAUGUCAUGAAGCAUGGCACUCAUCAAUAUUGUAUUCUUUCUUUUCCUUGAUUCUAAACAUUUUUAAGAUGGGUUAUUUCAGUCUCCUUACAUAAUAUGUACAAGGCUCAAAACAUGUUUGUGGAUUGUGGGCAUAUACCUUUAAAUAGAAUAUCAUGAUUUUAAAAGCAUCUAAG
rnacentral:lncRNA from 1 species